rnacentral:rRNA from 1 species
UACGGAGGGGGCUAGCGUUGUUCGGAAUUACUGGGCGUAAAGCGCACGUAGGCGGCUUUGUAAGUUAGAGGUGAAAGCCCGGGGCUCAACUCCGGAAUUGCCUUUAAGACUGCAUCGCUAGAAUUGUGGAGAGGUAAGUGGAAUUCCGAGUGUAGAGGUGAAAUUCGUAGAUAUUCGGAAGAACACCAGUGGCGAAGGCGACUUACUGGACGCAUAUUGACGCUGAGGUGCGAAAGCGUGGGGAGCAAACAGG